rnacentral:rRNA from 1 species
GUGCCAGCCGCCGCGGUAAUACGUAGGGGGCGAGCGUUGUCCGGAAUUACUGGGCGUAAAGGGUGCGUAGGCGGCCUGAUAAGUCAGAUGUGAAAUACCAGGGCUCAACCCUGGGGGUGCAUUUGAAACUGUCGGGCUUGAGUGCAGGAGAGGAAAGCGGAAUUCCUGGUGUAGCGGUGAAAUGCGUAGAUAUCAGGAGGAACACCAGUGGCGAAGGCGGCUUUCUGGACUGUAACUGACGCUGAGGCACGAAAGCGUGGGGAGCGAACAGGAUUAGAUACCCUGGUAGUCCACGCCGUAAACGAUGGAUACUAGGUGUAGGGGGCGAUUAUGUCUUCUGUGCCGUAGUUAACGCAAUAAGUAUCCCGCCUGGGGAGUACGGCCGCAAGGUUGAAACUCAAAGAAAUUGACGG